ACCAAACGCUCUUAGUCAAGAAAGAUCAUGAUGUGGUUUAUUAUCGUAAUCCUAACGCUGCAAUCCUGUACGAGCGCCAAGUCACCUGAUGGUAACAAGACGUCUUGUCCACAACCAAAAGUAGGACACUGUAUCUGUGUGUGGAACRGACAGUACUGUACAGUCAAGUGUCAAGGUCUGGAUGUUGUCCCGGAURCAUUGCCAACACAGACGACUCAUCUAACAAUGGUAAUGGGGACACUGAAGGAAUUCCCAAAAAACUACUUAAAAAACCUGAAAAACCUGAUGAAA